CCUCUUCGAUCUGCUGCGGGCAGAUGAAAUGGAUGUGGCUGUCGAACCCGCCAGCGGUGAGGAUUUUGCCUUCCCCGGCAAUGGCCUCCGUGCCGGGGCCGAUGAUGAUGUCGACGCCGGGUUGUGUGUCCGGAUUGCCUGCCUUGCCGAUCUUCACAAUGCGCCCGCCGCGCAGGCCGACAUCGGCCUUAUAGAUGCCGGUGUGAUCGACAAUCAGCGCAUUGGUAAUGACGGUGUCCACGGCACCAUCUGCCCGCGUGGCUUGGCUCUGCCCCAUCCCGUCGCGG
rnacentral:sRNA from 1 species